CGGGUUGUAAAGCACUUUCAGCGAGGAGGAAGGGGUCGGUGUUAAUAGCACCGUUCAUUGACGUUACUCGCAGAAGAAGCACCGGCUAACUCCGUGC
rnacentral:rRNA from 1 species